AGCGAACGCUGGCGGCAGGCCUAACACAUGCAAGUCGAACGAACUCUUCGGAGUUAGUGGCGGACGGGUGAGUAACACGUGGGAACGUGCCUUUUGGUUCGGAAUAACUCAGGGAAACUUGUGCUAAUACCGAAUGUGCCCUUCGGGGGAAAGAUUUAUCGCCAUUAGAGCGGCCCGCGUCUGAUUAGCUAGUUGGUGAGGUAACGGCUCACCAAGGCGACGAUCAGUAGCUGGUCUGAGAGGAUGACCAGCCACACUGGGACUGAGACACGGCCCAGGCUCCUCCGGGGGGCAGCAGUGGGGAAUCUUGCGAAAGGGGGGAAAGCCUGACCACGCCAUGCCGCGUAAAAGAUGAAGGUCUUAGGUUUGAAAAAUUUUUUCACCGGGGACGAUAAUGACGGAACCCGGAGAAGAAGCCCCGGCUAACUUCGG
rnacentral:rRNA from 1 species